rnacentral:sRNA from 1 species
GUGUUGUCCUAACUGGGCAGUAUCCUGUGCUCAGAGAAUAGCAAAUGUCCUGAGAGGGUUGAAGACCCAGGGCUGAACUCAGAAGCCACAUUUUAGCUUUGCAGCAAGUUGCUCACAUUGCAGAAUCUUCUGGGAGAGCCACCUGCUGGCUGUCCUGUGACACAUGGACUGAAGCAACCGCUUGGACCUCCAGGCUGGCCCUGUAGACCCUGGUGCAUCCUGGAGAAAGCCAACAGAAACAGGCUGCAUGCACAGCACUCCCUCCCCACUCGCUGAGGGGCUCUCGGUCACUGCGUUUCUGAUACUCCUGCAGCUGUCUCAGAGGACCUAGCUAAGUCCAGAGAUACCACGUGACAGACACAGGAAGAGGCCUCGUACCUGGCAAAAAAAUCUGGAGGUGGCGGGAUCCCAUCCACCUGUGACCUCUGGCUUUUGUCACCGGGGCUGCCCUGAGUCAGAAUGGGCCAGAAAAGUUAAUGCUUAACCCGGAGGUUCUGAGAGAGCCGCUGGCCACUACGUCAGCACUCCGAGGGGACUCGGGUCAUCGCAGACAACCAGCCCUGGUUCAAAGUCCGGAGUCCCCACGAGGUUGCCUGCCAGUGGGAGAAUGCUGGUGUUGAUGCCCCAGAACUUGAGGACUGUGGUUCCAGAAUGCUGACCAUGGUGGGCAGCUACAGCCUCAGGCUGAACCUGUGGGUGACCGUGUGGCUGGUAUCCAUGGGACAGGUCCAUGCUGACUCAGGCAAGAGCUAGGGUAUCAUCAUAGAUGAAGGGUGGUGGAGGCCAGGCCUCAUGGUGGGAGGUUGAGGGCGGAAAGGAAGGAUGCCCAGGGGAGAAGUCACUGCCCAAGUUGGGCCAAGAUGCCACUUGGAACUUUCUGAAUGAAGACCAUGGAUCCUGGGAGAACAUGAGGAACAGAUGAGAGAGAGAGAGAGAGGCCAUGGGUGAAGUUGGCCGGGCUUCUGGAUCCAUCAGAUGUCAUGGUCACCUGCAAACGUCAUUCUUUUAGUAGCUUCUGAGUGACCACUGGUGGGGCAGGUCCUCUUGGCAUUGGAACAGGCUAAACCAAUAGAGUGAUGCUCACAGGGUAGCUAACGAUGUGUGGGGAGAGGGGUAUUCAGGAAGCCCCAACCGGUACAGUGCACGGAGCCCCAAGAGAUGAGCCAGAGGAAGCUGAGGAGGAAGGGCAGGUGACGUCCCUGCAAAGGUCCCCAGGCAGGAGAACUUAGGAGAGGCUGAGGGGCCUGGGCCUGGGGCUGAAGAUGGAAAGACGCCAGGGAGAGGGCACAGCCAGCGGGGUCUGGGAGAGAGCGAGGUCUCGGGCUGGUGAGAUGGUUUCGCAGGUAAAGGUACCUCUUGGACAGGAUCGACAACCAGAGGGUGGUGGUCCAGCACUCAGGAGGCAGAGGAAGGUGGAGCUCUCUGACUCAAGGGUGGCUUCGUCUACAGAAUCAGGGGCGCCACCUGGUGGCCGGAGUCUCAGCCAUGGAAGCCUCGGACCAGACCUCUGUCCAGGUGUGCCAGUGUCCCGGGUGGGCUCAAAAGACACUCAGGUACGCUUCCCAGUUAGCACAGGUGACACAGGAAGCCGAGGGACCCUAAAGAAAUCCACACGGGGCUGGAGUUUCACGCCCAGUACCAGCCUCUCUUCCCACACACUUCGGUUUCCUUCCAGACUUUUCUCCACACACCCAGGUACUUGCUAAUGUAAAAAGUGAGUUGCAGCCCACAGAAUCAGGAAGCUGAUGGGCUCCCACGCACUUCAAGAUGGGGGGGUUCUCCCUCUCUGUCAGCUGAGAUUUCUUCUGGUGGGCAGAGAGUGGCGGCGAGAUAACACCAGACGGGGGUGUGACCAGGAGCCAGAGGGCUUCGGAGCACAGAGGCCACUUCCACAUCGUUGGCCGGGGGAAUGAAGCAACUUCACAGCGACCUGUCUGCUCUUGUCACUUGUGGAAGAGGCGAGGCGAGGACCUGGUGGGAGGUCAUUGUCACACCAGGCGUACCUACCCAUUGCUUCCGUGAGACUAACUUUGAGGGGACCACGACAUCCCGACAGCCUACGGCCCCUUCCAAGGACACCCUGGGAUUCAUUUAAGCUUCCGUUUUCCAGAUGGGGAAACUGAGGCUUGGGGAGGGGAACAACAAAUAGAGCUGCACAUAUGCUGAGUGUCCAAGGACCCCGUCAGUCACUUUCCGCUCGGGAAAGUUAGGGGUGGGGGUGGGGGCUCUCCCUGGCUGUGUGACUCGUGGUUCCUGGGCUAGUGUGUAACAUGUCACUGGUGCAGCUGUCUGUGUGGAGACGUUUCCCCACCCCAGGUGCUGCUGUGUUGUGAGUUGGGCUGGAGUACAAGACGGGCCAUUCAGGGUGUCACAGCCCAGAAUGCAAACUGACUGGAGGACAGCCAGCACUAACCAGGGCCUACUGAGUUCUGUUCCAUAAGUCCUGUGUGACUGUCACACUCAAACCAGGUGUGGGCUGGGAAGGAGGGAGGGCAGGGGAGGAAGGAGGCUCCCUGCCAGUCCUGGGUCAGGUUUGGUGACAGUAGAUCGUUAGGAUGAUUAUAGCCAGUCACCUGGCUAGACAUUUUCUCAUCUUGUCCUAAAAACAAACCCCCAGAGGGAGGAAGGUAAUGGCCCUAUCUAACAGAUAUGGAAAUAGAGGCGCAGAGACUAGGAGUCCAAGGUCACACUAUCUUCCUUGUGGGCUGGUUGUGUGCCCUGGGACCCCACUCUCAGCUGGUCCCUCCUCAUCUUUGUCCCUCCCCCUCAUCCCGGAGGUAUUUCCACAGUACAGGGGGCUUUUUCCUACCCACGGGGGUUGUGUAUCCUUGCUCCUGGGUGUAAUCUUGGCGGGCUUUUUGCAGGCCGUGUUACCCCUGGCAAAUAGUUCAACUUCCCCGAGCUCCUUGAAACGGACAGUUCUUCACACAUAGCCAUGGUGGGUAAGCUGGUCUGAUGCUGUCAGCAACUACCGGACAAGCUGUGCGCUCCAGGAAGGAGCAAGCAGGUCUUGCGUGGGUGGGAGCUCUUUACAAACACGUUGCAGGGUUGUCCCGGAAAGGGCGCAGGUCCUUCAACUUUGAGCAUGGGUGUCCGUUGGAGAAAGCUCGCGUAAGGAGAAACCUAGCUUGAAAUGUCUUUAUAGGUUUGGUGUCGUGAUGCAAGACUCCAGGAACCUACUGGAUGCCUAGCCGCACGAGUGCAGGGCACAGGAGUCCUCUGCCUGGCCCACCUGAGACCCUGAAGUUCACUGGGCAUUGAGCUGUUUCCAGUUCCUGGCUCUUAUGACUAGGGCAGCAGUGAACACGGCGGGGCAAGUGUCUCUGUGGUAGGAUGAACAGCCCUUUGGGUACCUGCCCUGGCGAGGUGUAGCUGGAUCUCAAAGCAUGAGGAACCUCCUCCAUGGAUUUUCACAGAGUUUGUACUCACACCAGCACUGGAGGAGUGUCCCCUACCCCCACAUCCUCAUCACCACGAGCUGUCGUCUGUUUUAUUGCCCUUGGCCAAUUCUGACUGGUGUGAGACUACAUUUUGAAGUAGUUUUGAUUUGGAUUUCCCUGAUGGCAAAGACGUUGAACAUUAAACAAAAAACUUUGUCAGA